rnacentral:tRNA from 1 species
UUCCCUGUGGUCCAAUGGUUAAGACUCUGCACUCCCAAUGCAAGGGGCGUGGGUUCAAUCCCUGGUCAUGGGAA